rnacentral:rRNA from 1 species
UGGGGAAUAUUGCACAAUGGGCGCAAGCCUGAUGCAGCCAUGCCGCGUGUAUGAAGAAGGCCUUCGGGUUGUAAAGUACUUUCAGCGGGGAGGAAGGGAGUAAAGUUAAUACCUUUGCUCAUUGACGUUACCCGCAGAAGAAGCACCGGCUAACUCCGUGCCAGCAGCCGCGGUAAUACGGAGGGUGCAAGCGUUAAUCGGAAUUACUAGGCGUAAAGCGCACGCAGGCGGUUUGUUAAGUCAGAUGUGAAAUCCCCGGGCUCAACCUGGGAACUGCAUCUGAUACUGGCAAGCUUGAGUCUCGUAGAGGGGGGUAGAAUUCCAGGUGUAGCGAUGAAAUGCGUAGAGAUCUGGAGGAAUACCGGUGGCGAAGGCGGCCCCCUGGACAAAGACUGACGCUCAGGUGCGAAAGCGUGGGGAGCAAACAGG